UCCUGUGGAAGUGAGGCGAAUGAGCUCGGGGAGACUUCUGCCCUCUGGAGUUGGCCAGAGCCACGAGAGCAGCAAUGAGCACAGCACACCCAGGGAGCAGAAAGAACGGAAGGAACAGGAGGAUGAACAAAUGAAGGGCGAGGGGCCAGAGAACAGUGAGUACCAACGAGCAGGACCCCAGCCCAAGGGAUGGUGCCACUGGGACCUCAAUUAACCUAAUCUAGGAUCUCCCUCACAGAAAGGCCCAGAGAUGUACUUUUAUUGCAAGAAUUUAGUGUGGAGGGGGAGAUACUGAAACACAAGUAAGAAAAAGAGGAAGAGGAAGAAGUUCUGUCAGCCCCACUCCCAGGAAUAAACAGCACUCACAGCCUGAGUCUCUUCACCUGUUUUCCAUGCAUGCUGCUACUGACGCUUGCGUUUUUUUAAGCAAAAAUGGACUCCUAUAAUACAAACUGUAGGUGACCUACUUUCUAGAAUGUAUCAUGAACUGUGCUUCUCAUCAUUAAAUGAGCUUCUUUGCCACCAUU